AAGGGGAGGUGACAGAAGAGAGUGAGCACAUAAGGUAACUUUCUUGCAUGUUAGGGUUCAUGCUUGAAGCUUUAUGUGCUUACUCUCUAUCUGUCACCCACCAAAA
rnacentral:pre_miRNA from 1 species